rnacentral:rRNA from 1 species
UGAAUACGAGGCACUAAGGUGCUGAAGUAGUGUAUGUCAUACUUCCAAGAAAAGCUUGCACUAUCGUAAGAUAAAAAUGCCUGUACCAUAACCGACACAGGUGGGUAGGUAGAGUAUACUAAGGGGCGCGAGAUAACUCUCUCUAAGGAACUCGGCAAAAUAACUCCGUAACUUCGGGAGAAGGAGUGCCUUAUUCUAUAAGGUUGCAAUAACAAGAUCCAAGCAACUGUUUAUCAAAAACACAGGUCUCCGCUAAGUCGUAAGACGAUGUAUGGGGGCUGACGCCUGCCCAGUGCCAGAAGGUUAAAGAAGUCGGUUAGCAAUUGCGAAGCUGGUAACUGAAGCCCUGGUGAACGGCGGCCGUAACAAUAACGGUCCUAAGGUAGCGAAAUUCCUUGUCGGGUAAGUUCCGACCCGCACGAAAGGCGUAAUGAUUUGGAUACUGUCUCGGAGAGGGACUCGGUGAAAUAGACUUGUCUGUGAAGAUGCGGACUACCUGCACCAGGACAGAAAGACCCUAUGAAGCUUUACUGUAACUUGAAAUUGAAAUUGGACUUUAUUCGCGCAGUAUAGGUGGGAGGCGUUGAUUAUAAUCUUGUGGGAUUAUUGGAGCCAUUAGUGAGAUACCACUCUUGUAAUGUUAGAUUUCUAACUUUGAAUCAUGAUCUGGUCAAAGGACAGUUUCAGGCGGGCAGUUUGACUGGGGCGGUCGCCUCCUAAAUGGUAACGGAGGCGUACAAAGGUUUCCUCUGAACGGGUAGAAAUCGUAUCUAGAGUGUAAAGGCAUAAGGAAGCUUGACUGUGAGACCUACAAGUCGAGCAGGGACGAAAGUCGGUCUUAGUGAUCUGACGGUACUGAGUGGAAAGGCCGUCACUCAACGGAUAAAAGUUACUCUAGGAUAACAGGCUGAUCUCCCCCAAGAGUUCACAUCGACGGGGAGGUUUGGCACCUCGAUGUCGGCUCAUCGCAUCCUGGGGCGGUAGUACGUCCCAAGGGUUGGGCUGUUCGCCCAUGAAAGCGGUACGCGAGCUGGGUUCAGAACGUCGUGAGACAGUUCGGUCCAUAUCCGGUGUAGGCGUUAGAAUAUUGAGAGGAGCCUUCUUUAGUACGAGAGGACCGAGAAGGACAUACCUCUGGUGUACCAGUUAUCGUGCCAACGGUAAACGCUGGGUAGCUAUGUAUGGAGUGGAUAACCGCUGAAAGCAUCUAAGUGGGAAGCCCACCUCAAGAUAAG